rnacentral:rRNA from 1 species
UACGUAGGGUGCAAGCGUUACUCGGAAUUACUGGGCGUAAAGCGUGCGCAGGCGGUUUUGUAAGACAGGUGUGAAAUCCCCGGGCUUAACCUGGGAACUGCAUUUGUGACUGCAAGGCUGGAGUGCGGCAGAGGGGGAUGGAAUUCCGCGUGUAGCAGUGAAAUGCGUAGAUAUGCGGAGGAACACCGAUGGCGAAGGCAAUCCCCUGGGCCUGCACUGACGCUCAUGCACGAAAGCGUGGGGAGCAAACAGG